AUUGAACGCUGGCGGCAGGCCUAACACAUGCAAGUCGAAUGGUAACAGGAAACAGCUUGCUGUUUCGCUGACGAGUGGCGGACGGGUGAGUAAUGUCUGGGAAUCUGCCUGAUGGAGGGGGAUAACUACUGGAAACGGUAGCUAAUACCGCAUAACGUCGCAAGACCAAAGAGGGGGACCUUCGGGCCUCUUGCCAUCAGAUGUGCCCAGAUGGGAUUAGCUAGUAGGUGGGGUAACGGCUCACCUAGGCGACGAUCCCUAGCUGGUCUGAGAGGAUGACCAGCCACACUGGAACUGAGACACGGUCCAGACUCCUACGGGAGGCAGCAGUGGGGAAUAUUGCACAAAGGGCGCAAGCCUGAUGCAGCCAUGCCGCGUGUAUGAAGAAGGCCUUCGGGUUGUAAAGUACUUUCAGCGGGGAGGAAGGGAGUAAAGUUAAUACCUUUGCCCAUUGACGUUACCCGCAGAAGAAGCACCGGCUAACUCCGUG
rnacentral:rRNA from 1 species